GAAAUUUUAUGAUCAGACGUGUAGGAAAAUUCUAAUAUGAUUUUAUGCUACCUCUUCAUACAAACUUGCCAAUAAUUCAAACUCCAUUUUACAUGCUAAGCUUCCAAGAAAGUCUUUAGACAAGAAAUGUCUUGGAAAGUGAAUGCAUUAAUGGUAAUACUGUUUUUCUUUCUUUUCUGGUUGGAUAAUUAAUUUCAUCAAAAUUAGAAACAAAGAGAGAAGAGAAAAGAAAAGAAAAGUGGUCCCUGUGAAAGACGCGGUUUGCUUUGACUCUAUCUUCACCCAUCUUACACUUUCUCACUCAACUUUUCCUGUCACGGUUCGUUGGAAUAUGAUCAAACACUGUAAUAUAAGGCUUUUGGUAAUUGUCAGUUUGAUGCAUUAUCACAUUAAUACAUUCACGUUGACAUCUGUGUAUUUUUCACAAAUAUUUAAUGUUACGACAACGAAUGAACCAACAUUGCAUAAUAAAAUUGUAGAAAAAUCAAAUUACAAAAACUGCAAAGUUAGAGUGUUUAAAUUUAAUAUUAAACCUAAAUAAUAUCUUACUUGAACCAAAUAGUCUUGGAUAUAAGUUGUAUGGCUCUGCUAACUUAGAAAAUAACAUAUAAGAACACUUUUGAUGACAUUUCGUUGGCAAAUUGCAUCCGAAGAUAAACGCUGGAAAACAAGGGGUCCAUUGGCUAUCAUUAAUUAGCCUGUUUCCUUCUUCAGCCUUUGUUUUUAAGUUCAUUGUGUGUGUCUUUCUCUUUCUCAGUAGACUCCAAUGAGAAUUUCCCAAUGUCCUUUCGUUUUCAUCAUAUUAUGCUACUCCUUCUGGAUANANCACACUGUUUAUUUCACCGGGGUUUCUNGUCAGAUUGUUGAAGAUCAACNACAGUCAUUGCUAAAAUUGAAGAACAGCCUAAUAUUCGAGCAAGAAAAAUCUCACAAACUUGUGUUCUGGAAUUCAAGCACGGAUUGCUGUAAGUGGACAGGUGUAACCUGUGAUGAGGAGGGACAUGUUAUUGGCCUUGACCUGAAUGGAGAAUCAAUCAAUGGUGGAUUUGACAAUUCAAGUACUCUUUUCAACCUGCAAAGUCUCAGGAUACUGAAUUUGUCCGUUAAUAAGUUCAGUUCUCAGAUACCAUCUGGAUUCAGCAGGUUGAAGAACUUAACAUAUCUGAAUUUGUCUUACGCUGGUUUUGUGGGCCAUAUUCCAACAGAGAUUUCUUCCCUGACAAGGUUGGUAACUCUUGAUAUCUCUUCUCUUUCCUAUUUGUCUGGGCCACCGCUGAAACUUGAAAAAACAAAUCUGGAAAUGCUUGUUAAAAACUUCACCAUGAUUAGACAGUUGUAUAUGGAUGGUGUAAGUGUAUCAACCCAGGGAAAUGAAUGGAGCAACGCUUUGUUUCAGCUACAUAGCCUGCAGGAGCUGAGCAUGUCCAACUGCAAUCUCUCAGGACCCCUUGAUCAUUCCCUGACAAGACUUCGAAACCUAUCAACCAUUCGUCUUGAUCAAAACAACUUAUCAUCCCCGGUGCCAGAAACCUUUGCCGAUUUUCCAAAUUUAACAACCCUUCAUCUUAGUUUCUGUGAAUUGAAAGGAGUGUUUCCUGAUAAGAUCUUUCAGUUGGCAACAUUGUCUGACAUAGACUUGUCAUUCAACUAUGAUCUUAAUGGAUCUUUGCCUGAAUUGCCUCCGAAUUCUUCUCUUCAGAAAUUAAUUGUGAGUCACACAAGGUUCUCAGGAGCAUUGCCAGCUUCUAUAGGUAAUCUUAGGCAGUUAUCCAUCUUAGAUCUUUCUAAUUGCCAUUUUAACGGAACACUACCCAGUUCAAUGUCAGGACUCAAGAAACUCACUUCUCUACUCUUGUCGUUAAAUAACUUCACUGGUCAAAUUCCGUCCCUGAAUAUGUCCAGGAAUCUCACGCAUUUAGACUUAUCACACAAUAAAUUCACAGGUUCAAUCACAUAUGUUCACUUGGAAGGCCUAAGAGAGCUGGUCCAAAUUGAUUUACAGGACAACUUACUUGAUGGAAACAUCCCUUCUUCUCUUUUUGCACUUCCAUUGGUACAAAGCAUUCAACUUUCCAACAACCAUUUCCAUGGCCAGCUUGAUGAAUUUUCAAAUAUCUCAUCCUCCGUCUUAGAGAUCCUUGAUUUAAGUAGUAAUGAUCUAGAAGGGCCCAUUCCUCUAUCUAUUUUUAAUCUCAGAUCACUGAAUGUCCUCAAACUAUCUUUAAACAAGUUACAUGACACAUUGAAGCUAGACGUGUUUCAGGGACUUGAAAAUCUAACUACACUGGCCCUUUCACACAACAGCUUGUCAGUGGAGACAAAUGAGACGGAUAAAGGCCUUAUAUCUUCAUUCCACAAUAUGAGGAGUAUAGAGUUGGCUUCCUGCAAUCUGACACAGUUCCCCAGUUUCUUGAGAAACAAUUCCAGAAUAACCACUUUAGACCUCUCAAGUAACCAUAUUCGAGGAUCUAUACCAAUAUGGAUAUGGCAACUUCCCUCUCUACUUCAAUUAAAUCUUUCUCACAAUUUGCUCAGCAGUUUAGAAGGAUCUGUUCAGAACAUUGGUUCCAAUCUGAGGCUCGUUGACCUUCAUGCUAACCAACUCCAAGGGAAGCUUCAAAUAUUUCCAGUGCAUGCCAUUUAUUUGGACUAUUCAAGCAAUAAUUUCAGUUUCGCUCUUCCGUCAGAUGUUCGUACUCGUCUGUCUUCCAUAGCUUUUCUGUCUCUGUCCAAAAAUAAUUUAUCUGGGAGUAUUCCUCGUUUCCUGUGCAAUAGUUCACAGUUGACAGUUCUGGAUGUUUCUUAUAAUAACUUCGAAUGGAGAAUUCCUGAGUGCUUAACAAAGAGUGUGACAAUUAAGGUAUUAAAUCUGCAACACAACAAGUUUAGUGGCAGCAUUCCAGAUAAGUUUCCAGUAUCUUGUGCUCUAAGGACUCUGCAUCUCAAUAGUAAUCUAUUGAAGGGGCCAAUUCCCAAAUCCCUAGAAAAUUGCUCAUCAUUAGAGGUGUUUGAUAUUGGAAACAAUGCGGUAUAUGAUGGAUUUCCAUACUUCUUAAAUUCAAUAUCCACAUUUCGUGUCCUGGUUUUGAGGAGAAACAAAUUUCAUGGGCACAUUGAAUGUCCUGAUGCUAACAGAACUUGGCCAAUGCUUCAAAUUAUUGAUGUGGCUUUGAACACAUUUAGUGGUUUACUUCCAGGAAAAUGUUUCAAAACAUGGAAGGCAAUGAAGAUUGACGAAUAUCAUGAUGCAUCAAAGUUCAAUCACAUAGGAUCUGCGGUCCUUCCAUUUGGUGGUAUAUAUUAUCAGGAUUCUGUGACACUUACAAUCAAAGGUUUGGAGUUGGAGUUUGUUAAAGUCCUAAAUCUCGUCACAUCUGUUGACUUCUCAUCCAACAAUUUUGAUGGAACAAUACCUGAAGAGAUUAUGGAUUUUACUGGACUUUAUGCUCUCAACUUGUCUCAUAAUUAUUUAACAGGCCAAAUCCCUUCAUCUAUAGGGAAUUUAACACAGCUUGAGUCAUUGGACCUGUCAAGCAACAAUUUUGGUGGCGAAAUUCCCACACAUCUUGAACUUUUAAAUUUCCUCUCAUUCUUGAACCUCUCUUCUAAUCGUCUGGUUGGAAAAAUCCCUGUAGGUAGGCAACUUCAAACAUUUGACCAAUCUUCCUAUACUGGUAAUGCAGAUUUAUGUGGAAGUCCUUUGACUAAAAACUGUAGUGAUGAAAAACCUGGGCUGUCAACCUCGGCAAAUGCAAGGUCGCACGCAACUGGUGAAAAUAUCGUGAGGGCUGAAUUGGGGUUUGUUUUAGGACUCGGACUUUUCAGUGUUCACCUACUGUUUUGGAAGAAAUGGAGGGAAAGGUACUGGAAGCAUGUGGACUCAAUUCUGUGCGGCAUCUUCCCACAGCUGAAUCUUGAAUACGAAACCCGUGGAGGACAAAGCUAUCAAGUAUUAAGGUGGAGGCCUUAGUCACAAGGGACUCCAUUUCUCAGUUACAUUGACUAUUAUGGGUUGAUUUCAUAUUUUAUGUAAUUAUGUAGAGAAAAUAAGAACAGUGCAUGAUGUGGUGUUGAAAUACUCUAAGAUUAUAAGUCCUAAAGGAUAUUAGGGUGGUUUAGGGAUUACAUAUAUGAUUGUGUUUUCAUUCAAUAACCGAAAUACUUGAAGAAAAAUGAAAUUAUGAUGUGAACACAUUGUUAAUCACCAUCAUAAUGAAAAGACAUAGUUAAAAACGAGACAUGUCUGUUCUUCGAAUUAAUAAUGAGAGUUCACAAACAUAAAACUGCAUAGAAACUAAACACUGAUUACAACUGAAACAACAGUAAACUCACCUUACGGUGAAGGCCGUCGCAGACUAUGGAAAUCUCAUCUGCAUUGCGAUUGCCGCUGUUAAUGACGGAGGAUUUCCCGCUCCGGCGGCUCGAAUUGGAGGAGGGAUUGACACAGUGAAGAAGACUAUAGAUGAUAUAGAAUUUAGUUAUAAGUUGAAAU
rnacentral:lncRNA from 1 species